GACGAACGCUGGCGGCGUGCUUAACACAUGCAAGUCGAACGGAAAGGCCCUGCUUUUGUGGGGUGCUCGAGUGGCGAACGGGUGAGUAACACGUGAGUAACCUGCCCUUGACUUUGGGAUAACUUCAGGAAACUGGGGCUAAUACCGGAUAGGAGCUCCUGCUGCAUGGUGGGGGUUGGAAAGUUUCGGCGGUUGGGGAUGGACUCGCGGCUUAUCAGCUUGUUGGUGGGGUAGUGGCUUACCAAGGCUUUGACGGGUAGCCGGCCUGAGAGGGUGACCGGCCACAAUGGGACUAAGAUACGGCCCAGACUCCUACGGUAGGCAGCAGUGGGGAAUAUUGCACAAUGGGCGGAAGCCUGAUGCAGCAACGCCGCGUGCGGGAUGACGGCCUUCGGGUUGUAAACCGCUUUCGCCUGUGACGAAGCGUGAGUGACGGUAAUGGGUAAAGAAGCACCGGCUAACUACGUG
rnacentral:rRNA from 1 species